GAUGAACGCUGGCGGCGUGCCUAAUACAUGCAAGUCGAGCGAACAGACGAGGAGCUUGCUCCUCUGACGUUAGCGGCGGACGGGUGAGUAACACGUGGAUAACCUACCUAUAAGACUGGGAUAACUUCGGGAAACCGGAGCUAAUACCGGAUAAUAUAUUGAACCGCAUGGUUCAAUAGUGAAAGACGGUUUUGCUGUCACUUAUAGAUGGAUCCGCGCCGCAUUAGCUAGUUGGUAAGGUAACGGCUUACCAAGGCGACGAUGCGUAGCCGACCUGAGAGGGGGAUGGGCAAACAGGGAACUGAGACACGGUCCAGACUCCUACGGGAGGCAGAAGUAGGGAAUCUUCAGCAAUGGGCGAAAGCCUGACGGAGAAACGCCGCGUGAGUGAUGAAGGUCUUCGGAUCGAAAAACUCUGUUAUUAGGGAAGACCAAAUGUGUAAGUAACUAUGCACGUCUUGACGGUACCUAAUCAGAAAGCCACGGCUAACUACGUG
rnacentral:rRNA from 1 species